GUUGCUUUGGUCGAGUGGACUAAGGCGCCUCCCCAUUCCGGUUGAGGCUUUGGAAGGCGCAGGUUCGAUUCCUGUAGCCGCUA